ensembl:lncRNA
AUGUUUGGUCAGAAGCAUACCACUGUGAUGCCCCAUGGGCCUCGGAGUCCUGACCCCAGCGCCAUCAUGGAUCAUGAUGAUGAAAACAUGGGAUUUUUGCCGUCUCAGCAAGAGACCGUGCCAUUCCAGAUGCCUGUUGUGGACAAUUCUUGCCAAGAACUCAUUAAAACAGACCUUGAACAAGUUCUUCCCAGCGCUUCUCCCCCCUUCGUGAGACGGGAGUUCUUUGAGGCGAGCCGUUUCCAGAGAGCACAAACAAGGAGAAGCGCGAGAUUAGCAGCCAGACAGGGCGCUAAUUAGCUAGUUUCCCCUGGGAGCUUUCAGGGAGGAACGCAUCUGGAUGAAGAUGUGUUUCGCUUCUUUUUCCCUUGGGAAAAGAAGCUCUGGACACCUGUUUGCAGGAAGAUUUGAAGUUCCUUAAAAGCUUUUCGCACGGGCGAAUCUGUGCGGAGUCACCGUGUCAGUUGAAGGAUUAACUUCGGUUCUAGUUAAGUGUGGACUGCGUUUUGAGUCCGCUAUCUCUAGUCUCUCCGUGCCUUGCCUUGCUGUGUUCUUGACCGGUCACCGUGUUCCCAGCCUUGCAUCUUGUGCCAAGUACCCAGUCUUGUCUUCAGUUCCUGCCUUGGACUUACUUUGAACUCCAGUAAAACUUUGGACACUUUUCCCACUCUAACUGCUUGGAAGUUGAGUGUUUUUCAGUUUUGGCAUUACAACUUUGAACUCUAAUAUUAUAUACUGGACAAUAUAUUUCUGGACUAUAUUUGACCUUCCCUGAAAGGUCUAUUGCUGGACUACAUUCUCUACUUGUUUUUAUCCUACUAUAAUAUUUCCUUAAUAAAGAUAUUAGAUUGUUAUUGGCCUCCGUGUGUUGGUUCUUAGUGCUCCGCUGCCAGGGCGUGACAACCACAGAAUCACACUGGAGGACCUAGAGAGGCCUUUUGGACCAUGAGUAAAUGAAAUUGUGGAUAUUGAGCCCAUGGAUCCGACCUCUUAGCCCAGUGCCACCAGGUUCAUUCUCUAUGAUUCUAUGAUUUUGCAUACUGUCCUUGUGUGGAGGACAUAGUGUAUUGUUUUGCUUCUUCAAAAACAAUGCAUAUCUGUAUGACAAUAGUGGUUGUUGUCCUGGGAAUGAAGAUCUGAAAGGAAGGUUGGAAAUUUAAGACAAAUAUGGAUUAGCUGUAUGAGACUAGCAAUGGAUCAGGUUCCUCUGACCUAAAUGAUGGAAUAUAAACUAUUCCACAUACUCAUGUAUAAGUCUAGAACUUUUAGUCAAAAAAUCAACUGAAAAGACUUGUGUUGACUUAGCCAUCGGUCAAUGUGACUCGUACUGUACCGUAAAUCUUAUCAAGAAGGAAUAUUCUCCCUUCCUGAAUAGAGUGGCAAAGGGUAAGAGGAGAAUGCAAAGAAGCACUGACCCCCCCUCCCUCUCUCUUCACUACAAUGCCACUUCUGGCCUUUCUGAAAGCCAAGGGGAAGGUGGAAGCCAGAGCGUGGAUGCCACCCUCAAGGCAGCAUUAGUGUAUUCCCCUCUCCAUGGACUGGCCAUCAAUUUAUCCAUGAUCAUAUCAAAACAAACAAUUUUGGCCUCAAAAACUGCCUUCAACUUAUACAUGAAACCAAGUUAUAUAUACAUAGAUACGGUAACUGAUGAGUGGAAGUGUGUGGGUGUGAGUACUAUUUUCAAGUUGUAGGAUAAGUUAACGGAGGAAAAAUCCAAUAGUACUGAAGUGAAGAUAACAUCAGAGAGAAGUUCCCCUCGUCCCCAUUUGUAAUCAAAAUAUUUAAAACUAAAACAAUUCUUUAAUUAUACAUGUUUUGAAGAUUUUGGGAGUUUCUUCAGCAAACUGCUGUCAGCUGGACAGCCUUUGAUCUUCAGAGCCAGCUAAACGGCUCCCUUUGAUCACCUAGAGAAUAGCUCAUAAAAGAAACAGGGCUUUUGUUCGGCUUUUCCCUAACUUCAUGGGUAAAUAAGAAGAUGUUUCUGAACUGAGAUGGGAGUGGGCGGUUUUUAAUAAACAGUUCCCCCUUUGAAGUAGGCAUAGUCAAAUUAGCAUAGAGAUGAAGGAUUCUGCCUUUGUGAGAGGGCUCGGGAGAAGCUAGUUUAUAGCCAUCCUAGGUAGAAGACUAUUUGCAAGAGGGGCCAGUGCCCAGGCAAACAGGGGGCUAAUGCCACAGCAUUUGUUGGCUAUAUAUCUUUUGUAUCGUUGCUUAAUUGCUUUCUUUCUGUGCAUGUUGAAGUGAUCUCAUUGAAUCAGUAAUUAUAAAUUACAAGACAUGGAAGCACUCACAGCAUGUGAAUUUAAAGGGGAAAAUGCAAGUAAAUAGGGACAUCCUGAUGCUUCGUACACUUAGAAUCAGCAUGUGGAAAGUGCAGAACUUGGACCUUUAGGUCUGAAAUUAAUGUACUUGUGUUAAAUGUACCAUUGUUGAGUCAUAUGGGGAAAAUUUUGUUAUUGACACUUUCAAAAGUUCUGUUUUUGUCAUUUUAAAGUUGCCUUUGUCCAACUGUUGUUUUUAAAACUCCAAGAUGGACUACAAAGCAAAGACUACAGUUGUUGCCUAAGAAAAGUCACAGCCAGCCCAUCAGAACAUUGUCAGGUUGCAAAAAGCUGAGGUCUCAUCUUACAAUCUGUUCAGUUCAGUUGUGUCACUGACGUCUAUCUCUCUUCUUUUCUUUUUUUAUCUCUUCUGAGUUUCACUAACAUGUACAACAUUUUCCCUUCAAAAGUCUGGUUAAGUAAUAGUUAACGAAUUAUGGCAAAGGUUAGUGGGAAGCUGCAAGCAUUGUACCUUUGUUUUAAGCUUUGUCAGACAGGUAUUUAUAACUAUAAAUAAUGCUAACGUUAUCAUUGAACAUCACCUGGGAAUUUUGGAAAGGAGAGAAGCAUGUUACAACUGGUCUAGAGAAAUGGUAUUUGGACAUGGUCAAGUGUUUGAAAUUUUAUUUAUCCUUUUUUGUCAGAUGUUCUCUUAAUUCAAGGAACUCAUCCCAUUUGGAUAACCCAGAACCUCAACCAGCAGCUGAGACCGGAUGAGAAACUCCCCUCUGGGCACCCAGAAGACUGGGUGACUUGGAAGGUGCUGAACAGACUUCGCUCUGGCACCACAAGAUGCAGAGCCAAUCUAAAGAAAUGGGGCUACAAAGUGGAGUCCACGGCAUGCAAGUGUGGAAAAGAGCAAACCACAGACCA